rnacentral:snRNA from 1 species
AUCGCUUCUCGGCCUUUUGGCUAAGAUCAAGUGCAGAAUGACCAUUAAAUUUUAUUAAAGACUUUUUAUCUGCUGACAUGAUUUUAAAGCAUUUUUGCUUUAAUUUAUGAAAUUGAUGAGUUACUCUGAUACAUUUUCUGAAAAUCUACGCACCCUCU